rnacentral:tRNA from 1 species
GGAGGUAUACCUCAGUGGUAGAGUGCAUGCUUAGCAUGCACAAGGUCCUGGGUUCAAUCCCUAGUACCGCCA